rnacentral:snoRNA from 1 species
ACGACCUUACUUGAACAGGAUCAGUUCUAUAGGGCCGUACCUCUGUGUCCUUUAGCACAAAGGAGACAGGGUCACAAGUCUGGUUGAUGGAUCAUGACCUUGUGAUCAGAGCGUGAUUAACGGCUUCUCUGGUCUCUCCAAGAUCAGACGGUAGUAGAGGAUCGUUCUCAGCUAGUGCUCUGGCUGUUGAUGGUCACAAGGUUGUCUGACAGACU